UCAACCAAGAAAGGUAGAGAGAAAGAACCAUCAUUCAGAACUACCAGAGCUAGGGAGGGUGCGGUGGAGGACGGUGAGUAGCGGUGGGAAGGAAAUGAGUCUGGGAGGGAGAAGGAGACGGAAGCAAACUCCAGAAUCAGGAUGAAGAAAGCAUGGCUUGAAGCUCUCACUUACUUGUCUCUGUUCAAAAGUUUUGCCCUUUCUCUCUUCUUCUUUCUUCCCUAAAAGCUUACCAGUUCUAAAAGAAAAAAAGUUUUUUUUUUUCCUAGAGCUCGGGCAAAGGCCCGUGCUAGCCAGGCGGUGAAUCCGCCACUGCUAAGGAGUAAGGAAUUCACUGAGAAUGAGUCAUUUUAUGACUUUCUUGAACAUGAUAUAGCUUCUGCACAUAAGGUGGUUGCUGUGUUUGAAUAUCAAACCUUAUUUCAAUCUACUUUUGUGCUUGUAGAAAUUUGACAAAACACUCCAUAUGAAGAAACGACUAAACCUUAACUGAGAUCUGUUUCAUGAGUCUAAUUCUUGCAUCAUGAGAUCAUAUUCUGUUUUAAGAUGAUUUAGGUACUGUUUUGUAUAUGCUGAGGAUUGACCUGCUAAACAUGUACUCUUAAUCCUAAUCCUACUCUAACCAUUAGAUUGGCCCAAGUAGGAUUAGGAUUAGUGAGACGAUGUUUGUAAAAUUUGUAACAAACAGGCUCUACUGACCAUCAGAUUGGCCUGCUUCAAAUCCAUAUAGCUACAAUUUUUCAGCAUGUUUACUAAUCAACAAGUAAAUUUUCCAACAAAAUUAUAUAGUCUUUUGUAACAAGUAAUUUAGGUACUUUAUUUUAAUCUUUUUGAAUCUUCUCACCUCUCAAGUUAGUUAUUAUUGUCUUUUUUCACUUAUCCUAAACUUUAGUAGAUAUAACAUUGGCAAUCAAUUAGAUGUAAAAGUAAAAAUAUUCAUCCAUCAGUUUCCUUGGUGAAAACAUCAUUUAGUUUCGUAUUUUAUACUGGACCUCAUGGGUCAUGUAUAGUACAAAUGUUGUUUUACCAUACCCAUAAUGGCAGUACAUUAGCGUUGGGUCAUGUAAUUUACAAGAGCUCCUGCACCAUACAAGGCCCAAGUUUCUUGUUCUUCAUCUUCUUCACAUCUUGUUCAUCUCCUCCAACCCAACCUCACUCCGCCGCCGAUCGAAGACGCUUUCAUGGCGGAGAAGCUCUUCAACCAGGCCUUCGCUUACACCUACGACGACGUCACUCGUCGCCUCCCCCAUGGACAUCGUAUUUCAAGGGUGUCCAUUUGGAUGCGCUUCUCGACAUGUCUGUCCACUGAAAGAUGGGGUUUGACAGGUUUAUUUGUACGAGCUUUUUGACAGGGAUGGAACAACAACGAGUCGCGAUUCUGAACCCUAAUGGCACCGCCAAGAACCACGUUGAUUUCUCUGCCGCUUCAUCAGGUUCUUCCGGUUCAUCUUCAUGCAUUGGCAGCAACUACUGAGAUCUGGAAUUUUUGGAGGGGAGCAUGUCACUCUUGGUUGUAAUGAAGUGGCUUUUGGAGGUGCGGUUUUAUUCAUUCUUGGAGAUGCUUGGAGGCUAAGCUACAGCUAUAUGGAUGGAUAUUUUCAAAAGGGUUGUUUGCUAGAUGAGUGCUUAUAUAAUGAUCAGUAGGUGGAUUGCAGUUGGGAGUGCCUUUGGAGUGGAGGCGAAUGAUAUUAAUUUUGAAGGGAGCCACUGUUAUUUUGGAUUUUUACUGGCAGCUUCCUUGACUGGGGAGAGUUCAAUGGGUUUUGGGUAUGCUUUGUACUGGGUUCCCCUUGAAGAUUUCAUCCUGAUUUUAGCCAACUUGUACUCUUUUUCCUAGUCUAGAUUUUCCAAGAGGGUUUUUUCUAGCAAUGUUUUAAUGAGGCUUGUUUUCUAAGAUCUUUCUUCAAGGGAUGGUGGGUUUAGCUUAGUAAUAGACGGAUUCUUUGUCUAUUGUACGUGUUGUUUUUGCUCUUAAGCUUUUUCUUCUAUACUCUCUUCUCUUUGUAUUGGUUGUACUUCAUUUCUAUAUAUUCUUUUUGCCUAUCAAAAAAAAAUUAGGGAUUCUUGAAGUUGAAAAA